GAUGAACGCUAGCUACAGGCUUAACACAUGCAAGUCGAGGGGUAACGAGAGGGCAGCUUGCUUUCCUUGUCGACGACCGGCGGAUGGGUGAGUAACGCGUAUCCAACCUGCCCUUCAGUAAGGGAUAGCCUUUCGAAAGAAAGAAUAAUACCUUAUGUGAUCGUUUGAUGACAUCAGACGACGAUCAAAGAUUUAUCGCUGAAGGAUGGGGAUGCGUACCAUUAGGCAGUAGGCGGGGUAACGGCCCACCUAACCUACGAAGGGUAGGGGUUCUGAGAGGAAGGUCCCCCACAUUGGGACUGAGACACGGUCCAAUCUCCUACGGGAGGCAGCAGUGAGGAAUAUUGGUCAAUGGCCGUAAGGCUGAACCAGCCAAGUAGCGUGCAGGAUGACGGCCCUAUGGGUUGUAAACUGCUUUUAAACGGGGAUAAAGUGAGCCACGUGUGGUUUAUUGCAGGUACCGUUUGAAUAAGGACCGGCUAAUUCCGUGCCAGCCGCCGCCGUAA
rnacentral:rRNA from 1 species